rnacentral:rRNA from 1 species
AGUGAACGCUGGCGGUAGGCCUAACACAUGCAAGUCGAACGGCAGCACAGAGGAGCUUGCUCCUUGGGUGGCGAGUGGCGGACGGGUGAGGAAUACAUCGGAAUCUACUCUGUCGUGGGGGAUAACGUAGGGAAACUUACGCUAAUACCGCAUACGACCUACGGGUGAAAGCAGGGGAUCUUCGGACCUUGCGCGUUUGAAUGAGCCGAUGUCGGAUUAGCUAGUUGGCGGGGUAAAGGCCCACCAAGGCGACGAUCCGUAGCUGGUCUGAGAGGAUGAUCAGCCACACUGGAACUGAGUCACGGUCCAGACUCCUACGGGAGGCAGCAGUGGGGAAUAUUGGACAAUGGGCGCAAGCCUGAUCCAGCCAUACCGCGUGGGUGAAGAAGGCCUUCGGGUUGUAAAGCCCUUUUGUUGGGAAAGAAAUCCAUCUGGUUAAUACCCGGGUGGGAUGACGGUACCCAAAGAAUAAGCACCGGCUAACUUCGUGCCAGCCGCCGCAGUAA